ACCCACUUAACUCAGUGGUUAGAGUAUCGCU
rnacentral:tRNA from 1 species